UACAAAUUUAAGCAAACGAUCAUUACUAUGGGAGUGGCGCCUCUCCCUUUACUUACUCUAUGAGUUCAGUAAAGAACAUGUGAUUCGUCAUAUUUUAUGAGUGCUGGUGUCGGGUGAAGAACGUCCGCACUGCAGGUCUGCAGGUUCACUUGUGGCGCGUGGCCUGGAUGGCCUUGCAGAUCUCGAGCCAGGGGUGGCCGUACGACGCGCAGAAGAUGCAGGCCUCCGGCUUGGGCGGGCGCUCCAGGGUGGAGGGCCGGGGGAGGGAGGCGCUGAGCAGGGAGAGUCAAUCGGCCAGCAGGCCCUGGGAGACGUUCGCCAGCUGCUCCUUCAGGGAGCGGAACGACGGCCUGUCCUCGGGGGAGUGGCUCCAGCACUUCCUCAUCACCUGCAACGUCCACAGAACAACGUCAACCUCCACUCCCACGCUGCUCGGCCACGUGCCUGAACUCUUCUCUCAAUAACACCCAGUUGAAAAAAUUUAUAGUCAAUGACCUUCUGGGUUUUUGACAUGAAACUUCUUUGCUGUGGGGGGGCUGAAAUUUUCGAACAUUACAAAAACUCCAAUUGCAUAAGGGGAAUGGUUAAGUUCAUGGUGGGGGAACCAGGAGAGGAGGGGAGUUGUUAGGCAUGUAGUAGGGGGAACCGGUAGAGGAGAAGAAAAGUGUCAGCUGCGAUGCCACCCCAACUCGUGCACUAGCGGAAAGAUAGCAAGGGAGGGGGUAGGUAAAAAUCUCAUACAGUUCAAUGAAUAUUAAAAUACCAAACAAAUGUUUAUUUACAUUAUAUUGAAUUAUUGUACAUUAAGAAGUCAGAUGUACAUAGUAGGUAUUUCACUUAGGAAUAAAUAUUAUUUUAACUAUAAAUAUAAAUUCUAAAAUAUCAACCAUCAGAUCCCUCCAGUUGUAUAAAGAUAGAAUGUAAAACACACUAAUGUAAGGCAACCUUGAUUGUAAGAUUGACGUCGUUCGGGGGCUUCACCCCGAGUUAAGCCUGAUGGAAGUCCUCGAUACCAAUCCAUCCCUUUCCCAACACCCAGCGUGUUUUAUUGCCAAUUAGGUCACGUGUGAUGUGCACGAGCCAAGAUUUGAACUGUGCCCCAAAGAGGGCGCUUUAAAGCCAGUACAUACCCCUUUCUCCUAAGAACUUAUGACAUUGUAAACUUUUAUCAUUUAUCUCAAGGGUUACAGCUUCUUUCCACAGCAUCCAAAUUAGGUCCCUUUGCUUUUGUUGGUCUUAAAUGGCAUGCAAAAAGGCCAUAUCCAUAACGGAACACUUUGACAUUUAACUAAUUACAGACAUUUUCAUUAAGGUUUCAUUAUGUAUGUUAACGUGUAAUAAUUUUAUUGAAUUUACUAAAGUCUUCAAAAAUGCCAUGAAUUUGAAUACUUAUAAAGGUAAUUGCAAAGGGGUGCUAGUGAGUCACCCCACUGUCCAGUAUCUGGCCCAGUCUGUGACCGUCAACCGUUGAGGUAGGAAACGUGAAAAACCCGAGGACUCCCAUCGUUCACCAUCACUGAUUAGUAAUUCUGUUUCUUAAAUUUGAAUAAUACUAAACUCUUUCCUUCUUGUCCUCGGUGCCUGUUUCGGUCGGGCAGACUUCUUUAAUAAUUAAUUGCACCACUUUAAGGGACGAGGGUGAUCGACCCCAACAAAUCAGAUCCAUGCCGUAAGGCAUUUUACAUGCACGCAAACAAGAUGGACGAGAGGCCGAGUAAAGGUUGCGUGUGGCAAUAAAUUGUGUGGUUAACUGCGAGACUGAGUUAUGCUUUUCGACCACGUGUUCAGGAAGGCUGGCAGCGCCUGAAGAAACCAAGAGAGAGGGUGUAUGUUUAAGUGUGACCCCCCCCCCCCCAACCUAAGAGCUGACAGGAGUAAGGUCUCAUGGUGUCCACACAUGAGCCACAUCACGCCCUGAGGAGCAGCUCCCCAUUCUCAAGAUGAACUUGAAUACUAUUGUAUCAAAUUUAAGAAAAUUUGUAAUCAAAAAUGACUCCUUAAUUAGAUAAACUUUCACUCUGGUCAAACUUGCAGAUGAAAUAAAAAAAAAAAACUGUUCUUUUUCACAUAAUUUUGGAUCUAAAAAAGCUGGAUUCCAUAAUAAUUACAAACAUAUUUUUAUUCGAAAUUUUAUUUAAAUUUGUUAAUUUUUAAGUAAAUUCUCUAACAUUUGGUUUCAUUAAGGAUUAGCAGCAGUAUUGACACACAUCUAAUGGUACAUCAUCUACAUAUAUGAAGUAGAGUUGCGUUUGUUUUUUCCUUACACAAAUUACAGUUUUAAUCAAUUCUCUAUGAAAUUCUGCACACUUGUCCUUCAAAAACAAGAGAAAGGUCAUUGCCUAAAUGAGAUUUCGAGAAAACCUCCUGUUGAAGCAGAAUAUUUUGAUAAUUUAUAAAAUUUCGCUAUUGUAUUGUUUUUUUUUAAUCCAUGGCAACAACUAUUGCAUUGUUUAAUUUUUUUUUCUCAUUCGAGGUGCAGCAGUAGCAUACCCAAGAGGAGCAUGUCUGAGCUGUGCGAGUGUUCUGCCUGUAGACUGCCACGGCGAAGCACAGGCACUUCAGCUAGCAUAUAUACAUAUUUUAAAAAAACCUCGUGUAUAAUUGUAUCAUUAAAAUUAAAAAUAAAACUAUUUGAUUAA